rnacentral:tRNA from 1 species
AGAGAGAUGGUUCAGUGGUUAAGAGCACUGGCUGCUCUUCCAGAGGUUCUGGGUUCCAUUACCAGCCCCUCUA